UACAGAGGUGGCAAGCGUUGUUCGGAAUUACUGGGCGUAAAGGGCGCGUAGGCGGUUCGUUAAGUCCUGUGUGAAAUCCCCCGGCUCAACUGGGGAACUGCACAGGAAACUAGCGGGCUUGAGUUCGGGAGAGGGAAGCGGAAUUCCGGGUGUAGCGGUGAAAUGCGUAGAUAUACGGAGGAACACCUGCGGCGAAGGCGGGUAGCUGGGCCAACACUGACGCUGAUGCGCGAAAGCUAGGGGAGCAAACGGG
rnacentral:rRNA from 1 species